CCCAUUUCGCAUGUUCAGCCCGGCGCUAAAAUCCUGUCAAACAUAAAACGUUUUAGAAAAAGAGUUACAAUAUUGUGAUGUGAUCACCCACGAUUGGUUGAUACUCUCACUGGUGGCUAAACUGCAGUCACAGCCAGGAUACCAUAAAUUCAGCCAAUCGCAAUGUGAUGAUCACAACAGCUUGUAUGCUAACUUCAUAGGUCUAUACAAAAGUCCAUAACUAUCAGAGGUCCGUUUUAGACUAUACCCAGGUAUCCAUAGCAUGAAUCUAUAUACAUAUGGAUAGAGCACUCCUAAUAGGUACUCGUACAAGAAAGUUAAAUCAAAUACCUACUUAUCGCUAUCCCACUUCAACUGACGAGUGAGAGCGAAGCAAGUAAAGUGGGAUAGCUAUAAGUAGGUAUUAGGAGCGCCUGAUCCACCUAUAUUAUACAUUCAUGAUCAGAUCAAAAAUAAAAAUGUUUGUUUACCAUUUACGUUUUAUCAUUGUCUCAUUUCAAAUCAAUUUAAAAGUUAUAUA